rnacentral:lncRNA from 1 species
AAAUCCGGAUAAUCGAGGUACGGAUAAUCGAGGUUCGACUGUAAUGAAAAUAGUUGUAGAUUGUGGAUUUCUUGUCCAGGUAAACCAAUUAAAUCAGAGAAAGAGGGGGUAUUAGACUGAGCAAAUCAGAAGAUAAAAAGUUUAAAGACAAUAAUUUUAUUAAUGUGCUGCAUAUUAGUGGGAGGUGGGAAACAGUAGAGAACAGUACAUGUAGUUGUGAAGGCUCAGAGCAACCCUUACACGUAACAAGUUGGUUAGUAGCCUUGGCUCUGGUCGCCCUGCCAGUAAAAGCUUUUGAAUGGAAUGGAACGGAAUGGUGACAGCUUACAGAGAGGAAACUGCUCUAUGAUGGAAGACAUGAUGCUUGGAUAGCACAACUGCAAGAAGUUUGUAAGCUCCCUUCCUUUCUGGGCCCAAAUUCCAUCACCAGAUUUGGCUAAUGGAAUGUUAGUGCUAACUGUGCAUGAGGCAGGAAGAAUAGUGCAGGUGGCCAGGGAAAUGGUGCAAUACAAGACCAGCAUCUAAGGAGUGAGGGAAAGUGGGAUGUAUUGAUCAGAAAUAUGAUGGAAAAUGACCAAGGAUGAUCACCAAAGUCAGGAAAAUGUGUGAACAGAUGACAUCACGAUUGAAUUACAAAGACGAAAUGGUGAUGCCUCAGCAUUAUAUUGAGCAAGGAUAAGGGUAGUAUCACAAAAUAAGCAGUGUUGUGGAUACCAGAUAGAAAAAGGAAGCUGGGAUCACCGAAAAUAAGAAGGACUGAAGCAAAACAGCCAGGCUCAUGUCUCUGUCAUGGAGUUAGGCCCAAGCAGUACAUGUAGUACAGGAACAGACCAGCUGGAGGAAUACUAUGGAGGCCUUAAGCAUAAUUUUGUUAUGGCAUGAAAAGAACAGAAGCUCGAUGAACAGAUGUAACUUCAUAACUGUUUAUGCCUGUUGUCAACAAAUUUCCGCACUGGAGAGUAAAACUUACCAAGACUGAAACUCAAAUUUUCGUGGAAAAAAAUAUUUGCUUUGAUUUUCAACAAAACUUUUUAACUUCUCUGAAGAAUUUCAGCCAAGCAAAGUGGCAAGAAUUUUGUUCUGGUUACAUUUUAACCUGUGCUGAAACCUUUUCUCCACGCUCUUGUUUGAUUGAAGACACAGUCACUAUGCAUGCCCAAGUUCUCUUUACAGCCUGGGUUGAAAUUCUAGAAAAUUUCAUGAGAAACCAUGAUCUAAGUGAGUAUCAAGCUUUGCAUGAUACAUGUACAUGAUCAUCAAUUUAAGGCAUUUGCACGAAAAUGUUGAGAGAGCAGUGGAAAUCAAGCAUGUAGGUGUAUGAUGAUGCCACAUGUAAUACCUGAAUGGAAGUGGUAACUUGGUUUCUUGGUCAAUGACUUUCUCCAGAUGAAAUGUGCUUUUCCAUGUUGUCAUUAUAUCUGAUCAUUUUUGUUUUUACCCAUCACAGUUUGCUAAGACAUAAUCACAAGUUUCACAUAGAAUAUUCUGAGAGCAUUUCGAAGUUUUUUUGGUAAGCAAACUGUGGGCUAAUAUGUCCAUGAUGUCAAAGAUGAAGAAAGAUUCAAGAAUUUCAAUGCAAAGGUAGCACCCAAACAGAAGAAUGUAAUAUUAUUUGCUGUCAUGCAAUGUGCUACUUUAUAGGAUCCUCCAAUUUCCUCCCUGAAAUUAGCCACUCUCCUUAGAUGGGAUGAUAGACCCAGUUGAGCCCACAGGUGACGCCUGCUUUAAGAGGCCAGGAGAAGUAACCAAAUGCAGUCUUUUUUCCUUUCAUAUUUAUAUUUGGCAUUUACUGGUUGCUUUUACUUACUUUCCAGGUGCAGUUUAUUUUGAGAUGCAUGCAGUGAUUUCUUCUGCCUGACUGCUUUGUCACUCAAAAAAGGUUGCCUAAUUGUUAUCAGCAUUGUUGCCCGUACGAAAAUUCUGAGCGUGACGUGGUCAAGAUUCUGGCCAUAAAAUACACUGUAUGAUGCUAGUGAUCGAGACAGAAUGUGACGAUAAUCAAGCUGACAAGAGCGAUGAAACUUGAACGAUAAAUAAACGAGAAAGGAGCGAGACAUUUGAACUGCCCUGAGAUUUGGACACACAUCUAAGCAAGAAACCAGUGAAAUUCUGGCCAUAAAAUAGUCACGCUUAUGAGCGAGACCAGAUGAAUGUGACGGCCAAUAAACACUUGAGUACCUGGCAUGAAAAUCAAUAACUCUUUAUAGUUCUGCUAUAUACAACGGCAAUCAUUACCCUCUGCAUAUGACUACAUACAACUACCAAACAUCGCAACAACAGUAAAUAUGACUAAUUUAUAUUAUUUAGUUUUUUUUGUCUGCAAUUUAAGGGUUUGGUUAAAUCAAAAUGGAAACUUUGAAUAGUUACUCUUUGAUUUGGUCGCAUGUGCUGUAAUUAACUGAAAUUAACAAAAAACAAAAUACAAGUCUCAACCAAUUGAAGUAGGGUUCUACUUGGUAGCCAUUUAUAAUUUAUAUGCAGCAAUUAAUCAAAAUUUACGGUGUGCUGAUCUACUUGUGGCAAUUUUGAUUGUAAUCAAACCUCCAAAUUAUCAACCUUAAUUCACGCAAUAUUGUGAGUGACUCAGAUAAGAUAGUUUGGGCUGAAACAAUCUUUAUUAAUUACAAACUCAAGUAGUUGUCCCCCAGGGAGGGAGGGAGGGAACCAAAACUUAACAUUGGGAUCGCACGCAACUAGAACAAGAGACUAACUGAGCACAAGGAGACAUGAACAUGAGACGCAGAGUUAAGCAAUGAGAUCAUAGUCAAUAAUUAACCUAUUCGAUUGUAAUCAAAACUCAAAAUUAUCGACCGUUAUUCAUGCAAUGUUGUGAGUGACUCAGAUAAGACAUGUGUGGGCUGAAACAAUCUUUAUUAAUUACAAGCUCAAGUAGUUGUCCCCAAAAUUAUUUAAACAAAUUGGCCGAAACACGUCGUAAUUGUAGAAAUGUUGAAAUUAAAAUAAAAGAAUAAUAAAAUUAAACUAUAUGAAAACCACUAAUUAAUAAGUGUUAGGAAGAACUGUUUGUGAAGUGUUUGUAAAAAGGCCUGCGGCCAUACUGUCAGCCACCUGUGUACAAGCGGUCAGGGGCAGUGGACUAGGCCAGCCAAGUAAAACUACACAUUUCUUCCUUUGAUUUAUUCAGCAGAAAGCAGCAUUGGUUUUAGUACACAUUUCGUGAAGACAUGUCUGCAAGGUUUUUAAAUGCCAUUAACAUUGACUUUGAAGUUUAACUAAACAAUUUAUCCACUACACUACACAAUAAGCUGCCUCAACACUUGAAAGUCCGCAAUAUUGCACAACACUCGAAAGAAAGCACAUGGAUGAACAUGGAGAUGAUGUCAUUCGCCCCUGAAGAAUUUUUUGGGGGGACCAAAUUGCUGUGCAAAGAAAGAAACAAACCCAAAAACUCAAAUUUUUCUGCAUUAUCCAAUUAGAACUGCCUUCUCUCAAACGCAAAACAUAAUAAUUAAACUCGCUGCAACAUGUUCAGAAAGUUUUGAAAAUUGCAAAAAUGUUCCUAUUCUUUAGCUUAUAUAUGAGUUUAUCACUAAAGAUAUUGACCUGAGGACAACGUUUUGAUAAUUUUCAUCAACUGACAACAUUUUACUCAGAAACUCAAACGGUUGAUCAGUUAGCAGAGAACCUGUAAAACAUCAAACCUCCAACACAGCACUUCGUCUUUUUUCAGUAAAAUUGGUAAACCAAUCAACAUGUUGUCACCUCUUCCUGUCAAGUGUUACUAGCUCAAAGUUCACUUUUAACUCCUGUGAACAGAAGAUCUGUUUUUUCGGUGUGCAAAAUUCAUUUGCGUUGAAGUUUGUGCCUAUGUCUUAAGAGGGGAUAACAAUGCGGUGACAGGCCUACAUGACUCCUAUCCACGUUUAAUAGCUGCUUUCAAAGGCUUGUUCAAAUGAGUAUAUCUCUAAAGGAUAUCGGCCCCUUUUGUAAGGUAUGAUUGGUUGAUUUUGGAUUAAAUGCUAUUGUUUCAUGAAAAUGAGGAUGACAGGCUCAUGACGGACUCUCAUGCUUUGUGACAUUUGUACAUACAUUGUUUUGUUUUCCUAUUUCAGUAUCGUGACCUUUUUUUCCUUCCUCACACUUGUUUCUGAAGGGCACCUUAUGCUGUGUUAUUAGGAGGACAUUUUACCAGAGUACAGGAAGCGUUACGUGACAACCCCAAAAACGGCUGCAGAGGAGACUAUUUAGAGGUCAUAAGUCCGCAUGGUUUCUGCUGUUGUCUGCAUGUAAUUUGUAGAGUUUGACACCCCUGUAAAUAAUUUGCCAUGUGCUAGGUUUUCUAGGCUCAUUAAUUUUACGAUAUGUUUUAAGCUCCCUAAAUAGAAGCUCUGAAGGGACAAAGUCUUAAAUGUUCCGUGAACAUGUUGGUUACUUGCAUUUUGUGUUGUUAUGCCAGGUCCGGCUGUCUGAUCUGACACAAGUUCUGUGCUGCUUCUCAUCACGGGUGUCAUUUUUAACAUGUAUUUAUCUUUGUCCGGCUUUGUCAGCAAUAGCUGUUGCUUUCCUUUUUGAAAGCUGUAAGUUUGUCUUAGAGAGAUGUUCUUACGUUUCUUGCAUCAAUUUUAUCGGGCUUUUAGUCUCUUGAGCUUGAUGUUUAGGUUUAUAUCUCCAGUUUGUUCAUUCUGGCACUGCAAAUAUAGAUGUUCAUGCACAAGUCUGUUGACUGUUUUGCUUGUUGUAUAUGCAGGUAUAUGAUAUGAUGUGUGGUAUUCAGUUCAAGCAAAACGUUGUCUUCUGGCUCUGAAUUUGGGAGUUCUUGUUCCGAGUGUUCCUCCAGCUCCAUAUUGUGGUCUUCAUUGUUUUUAUUUUCAAUGUUGUCAGAUUGUUUUGAGACUGCCAAGUCCCUCUUUUGUUAGGAUGCAGUUAGUUUGUAAUGUUCACAAAAUAGAGACUGAUACGACAUUAUAAGAUAGUAGGGAUAUUGUUUGUUCAAGUUUAAAUUUGUUCUGGAGAUACCAGUCCAGUAUCCAGCAUCUUCACUUUCACGAAAUAAAAAAAGAUACAGGAAGGAAACAAGGACUAGAAAUUAUUGAAGUCUUCAGGUCAAUAUCUUUAGUGACAAACUUGCUCAAGAAUAUGAACAUUUUUGCAAUUUUCAAAACUUUCCUAACAUUUUCCAACGAGCUGAAGAUAUUUUGACUACUGUGAUGUCAUUUUUUAUUAUUUUAUUAUUAAAUUUUAAUAUCAUUUUCUAAUUGUUCGCUGUCUGCCAUCUGCCAUCAGCAUCCACGUUUACAGCACCCAAAACAGUCUACUGGUAAAUAUUUUUGGAGUGGAAACUACCUAAACUAAAAUGCCAAGGAGUUCUUUGGAGCACAUUAUAGGAAAUUUGAGGCACAUUGUUCUGCAGUACGUAGGAGCAGACACAGACUUGUGGUGUAGCAUGGCAUAUCUUUGAGUUUUUCGUCGCAUGCAAUGUGAACACUGUGAGGCCUCUGUGAGGCCUCUAACGAAAGCUGAAAACUACACAAAAAUGCAAGCUGGGAGAGAAUAAGCUACUUGAAAUGAAUAUUUUGAUGCAAAAGAACAAUCCUGUUAUAUUUUAGUUUUGCAUUUAGCAUACUUUUAUGGUACGAGGUAUCACACUGAUAAGCAAGAUUAUGGCCGACAACAAGGUCUGAUAAACGUCACAUCGAAUUUUCUGUACCGGUACUUGUAAAACGAAUUUAGCCAGAAUUACAACGAUAACACAGCCUGACAAAUGUCUCGGUACUGCUGCGCAAGCCAAUAAAUUCAGUUUGUACUCUAUCACGCUAGUUAUUGCCAUAUUAUCAGCAAUGACCAUGCCUGACAAAUGCAUCGUCCAGUCCUACAAGACAGACAAAAUCCUUGUGUCACUUUGUCUUGCUCAGUUUUUGUCCAAAAAUAGCAUUAUGGCCCAAAUCAUGACCUUGCUCAGUCAGGCCAUAAAUUUUUGUAUGGGUGUACAAUUGUUCCAGUAAGCACACAAGACGUAGUAAACCUUAAACGUACCUGAGAGUUCUGACGUCUGUUUUUGCUAUGAAUAUCAUGCACUGAGGUGUAUACAAAUCUAUCCACAUCCUCCAAGAACUUGUAGUCUAAAAGUCCAACAGGUAUAAUAUAUAGAUUUAGCCAAGCCUAAAAGUGGAGCUCCUGGGCUGGGUUGUUCAAAGCCCGAUUAAGCUAACCCAGGAUAAGCGAGAAUUUUGAUUAGAGUUUUGUAACUUUGCAGUGAUGUAUCCUGUACGUUAAUUGUUUGGCGUUCUGUUUCAAGUUUGAAUAAUCUGAAACUACACAAACCAAAGGCAGUGAAAAACAUUUGUAUACAAGAUAAAAUAUACUUCGGUUGACCUUUAAUCAUGGGUUAGCAUUAACCGGCUUCUGUAUAACCUAGCCCUAAUUGCAACAAAUUAACUUGACAUGAGCCCGCGAUCCAAUCGAAAACCAGCACUUGUUCAGCGGUCAAUUAAAAGAAAUGUGACCUCAAUGAGUUUUUAACUUGACCCACAAUAUGGUCACGUGAUACUGGUCAGCAGACACCUUGUUUUACAGGUAUCAAUUGACCAUAACAUGGAUGUCCAUGAUCAAAGAAGGGUGCUAUAAACCAAGGCUGUCAGCCUAUUAGCUGGACUAUGGCCACCAUCUUGCACGACUCUGUUGCCGUCGUCCCCGUCGUUGUGCAUACACGCCCACGAACAAUACUACUAGCCAUUUUUACCAUAAGCAAGGUGAUUCACGGGUUUCUAUGAGUAUGGGACUCUGCUUGGCGGCCCUUUGGACCGCUGGAGCUCUGUUAUGAUAUCUAUUAAAAAUGUAUUGUACAUUAAAGUUUAGCCUUAAUAUUAUGAUAUUACGAUAUUACACCCUUUCCUUCCAGGUGAUCUGGUGACGUCAUUGUGCAAGACUGGAGAGAAAAUUUUAUUGCCGUAUCCCAUAAGGCAGCCCGUGGGUAGUCGUGAGUUUGCAUCUGAAUGAUGGCGGUCACUGCCAGAGCGAGCGUUGCUUUUCAGAAUUAUUUUGUCUUGUCUUAUACUGCACUUGGAACUCGGAAUUGUGCUGUAAAUAUGAGAAGUGUUGAUUUGGACAGUUGGGAAGUCUCUUUCGACGGUGAAUCUUUCCAAUUCUACACUUGGAUGGAAGCGAUUUGAGUACUUGAAUUGCACAACAUGCAGCGCUGGCUGCACUGCAUUGUAAGCUUGAAAAUCACUUGGUGUUUUACUUCAAUUUGUUUCUAAUAGUGUACUUUCUAUACAGUAUUAAAGGUACUGUAUUCCAUCGA